CCUACGGGUGGCAGCAGUGGGGAAUAUUGGGCAAUGGAGGAAACUCUGACCCAGCAAUGCCGCGUGAAUGAAGAAGGUCUUCGGAUUGUAAAGUUCUUUAGUCAGGGAAGAAUAAAAUGAUGGUACCUGAAGAAUAAGCUCCGGCUAACUACGGGCCAGCAGCCGCGGUAAUACGUAGGGAGCAAGCGUUGUUCGGAAUGACUGGGCGGAAAGGGUGCGUAGGCGGUUAUACAAGUGAGAGGGGAAAAACCCAGGGCUUAACUUGGGUACUGCUUCUAAAACUGUAGGACUUGAGUGCGGUAGAGGUAAGUGGAAUUCCUGGUGUAGCGGUGGAAUGCGUAGAUAUUAGGAGGAACACCAGAGGCGAAGGCGGCUAACUGGACUGCAACUGACGCUGAGGCACGAAAGUGUGGGGAGCAAACAGGAUUAGAUACCCCGGUAGUC
rnacentral:rRNA from 1 species